rnacentral:rRNA from 1 species
UACGUAGGGACCGAGCGUUGUCCGGAUUUAUUGGGCGUAAAGAGCGUGUAGGCGGCCAGACAAGUCUGCUGUGAAAACUCGAGGCUCAACCUCGAGCUGUCGGUGGAAACUGUCUGGCUAGAGUCCGGAAGAGGAGAGUGGAAUUCCUGGUGUAGCGGUGAAAUGCGCAGAUAUCAGGAAGAACACCUAUGGCGAAGGCAGCUCUCUGGGACGGUACUGACGCUGAGACGCGAAAGCGUGGGGAGCGAACAGG